rnacentral:rRNA from 1 species
UACGUAGGGUGCGAGCGUUGUCCGGAAUUAUUGGGCGUAAAGAGCUCGUAGGCGGUUUGUCGCGUCGGCCGUGAAAACUUGGGGCUUAACUCCAAGCUUGCGGUCGAUACGGGCAGACUUGAGUUCGGCAGGGGAGACUGGAAUUCCUGGUGUAGUGGUGAAAUGCGUAGAGAUCGGCAGGAACACCCAGGGGGAAACCAGUGGACUGGCACGGUGCUGACGCUCAGGUGCGAAAGCGUGGGGAGCGAACCGG